CCUUUUUAAAUACAUUUUUAAAGUAUUUAUUAAUGAACCAAAGGAAAUCAGAUGCUUUCUGUAAGCAUCAGAAUAUAGAAUACAUAGUGAUUUGACUAUGAAUUUUAAAUCCACAUUUUAAUAUUAGUGGGGUAUUGCAAAGACAUUCCUUCUAAAGUUUUAAUAUUCCUUUUAUUAAGGGUCUCAGGGAGGGUAAAUUAGUCAGCCAUAUUUAUUUUCCAGAGAUGUAAGGAAUUGCUAAGGCUAAUUCAUUGCCAAUGUCUCGGUUUUUCAGUUCUGCCUCCGUGAUAAAUUUAAGGAUAAAGAAUAGGGAGGGGUGAAGGAAGGGAGGGCUGCUUUAGAACAGGUGAGAUGAUACUGCCAGUUUGGUAGAAACUGCAGCAGCUCGCGGUGGGAGCACUCUCAGCAAUCAGGUGUUUUUGGGCC
rnacentral:lncRNA from 1 species